CAUUGGUAAGAAUCCAAUGCCCCGAAAACCUAAGGUUUCUUUUGCAAGGUUCAUCCACGAAGGGUGAGUCAGGGACUAAGAUCAAGCCAAAAGGUGUAGUCUAUGGACAAAAGGUUAAUAUUCCUGUACUACCCCUUGUUUUUCCCGAUGGAUGGAGGAGGUUAGGUUAGCCGAAAUAUGGUUAUCGGUUAAAGGACACAAGGUGACCCUCUAUACAUUGAUUCAAAGGUAAAACAAGAAUCAAAUAUAGGUGUGUAUAAGGUGAGGUUGGGGGUG
rnacentral:ncRNA from 1 species